AGUGAACGCUGGCGGUAGGCCUAACACAUGCAAGUCGAACGGCAGCACAGUAAGAGCUUGCUCUUACGGGUGGCGAGUGGCGGACGGGUGAGGAAUACAUCGGAAUCUACUUUUUCGUGGGGGAUAACGUAGGGAAACUUACGCUAAUACCGCAUACGACCUACGGGUGAAAGCAGGGGAUCUUCGGACCUUGCGCGAUUGAAUGAGCCGAUGUCGGAUUAGCUAGUUGGCGGGGUAAAGGCCCACCAAGGCGACGAUCCGUAGCUGGUCUGAGAGGAUGAUCAGCCACACUGGGGCUGAGACACGGUCCAGACUCCUACGGGAGGCAGCAGUGGGGAAUAUUGGACAAUGGGCGCAAGCCUGAUCCAGCCAUACCGCGUGGGUGAAGAAGGCCUUCGGGUUGUAAAGCCCUUUUGUUGGGAAAGAAAAGCAGCAGGUUAAUACCCCGCUGUUCUGACGGUACCCAAAGAAUAAGCACCGGCUAACUUCGUG
rnacentral:rRNA from 1 species